GAGCGAACAGACGAGGAGCUUGCUCCUCUGACGUUAGCGGCGGACGGGUGAGUAACACGUGGAUAACCUACCUAUAAGACUGGGAUAACUUCGGGAAACCGGAGCUAAUACCGGAUAAUAUAUUGAACCGCAUGGUUCAAUAGUGAAAGACGGUUUUGCUGUCACUUAUAGAUGGAUCCGCGCCGCAUUAGCUAGUUGGUAAGGUAACGGCUUACCAAGGCAACGAUGCGUAGCCGACCUGAGAGGGUGAUCGGCCACACUGGAACUGAGACACGGUCCAGACUCCUACGGGAGGCAGCAGUAGGGAAUCUUCCGCAAUGGGCGAAAGCCUGACGGAGCAACGCCGCGUGAGUGAUGAAGGUCUUCGGAUCGUAAAACUCUGUUAUUAGGGAAGAACAAAUGUGUAAGUAACUAUGCACGUCUUGACGGUACCUAAUCAGAAAGCCACGGCUAACUACGUGCCAGCAGCCGCGGUAAUACGUAGGUGGCAAGCGUUAUCCGGAAUUAUUGGGCGUAAAGCGCGCGUAGGCGGUUUUUUAAGUCUGAUGUGAAAGCCCACGGCUCAACCGUGGAGGGUCAUUGGAAACUGAAAAACUUGAGUGCAGAAGAGGAAAGUGGAAUUCCAUGUGUAGCGGUGAAAUGCGCAGAGAUAUGGAGGAACACCAGUGGCGAAGGCGACUUUCUGGUC
rnacentral:rRNA from 1 species